rnacentral:tRNA from 1 species
UCUAAUGUGGCAGACAAGUGCAAUGAACUUAAGCUUCAUGUAUAAAGAAAAGCCUUUCAUUAGAA